AUUGAACGCUGGCGGCAGGCUUAACACAUGCAAGUCGAGCGGGGGAAGGUAGCUUGCUACUGGACCUAGCGGCGGACGGGUGAGUAAUGCUUAGGAAUCUGCCUAAUAGUGGGGGACAACAUCUCGAAAGGGAUGCUAAUACCGCAUACGUCCUACGGGAGAAAGCAGGGGAUUUUCGGACCUUGCGCUAAUAGAUGAGCCUAAGUCGGAUUAGCUAGUUGGUGGGGUAAAGGCCUACCAAGGCGACGAUCUGUAGCGGGUCUGAGAGGAUGGUCCGCCACACUGGGACUGAGACACGGCCCAGACUCCUACGGGAGGCAGCAGUGGGGAAUAUUGGACAAUGGGGGGAACCCUGAUCCAGCCAUGCCGCGUGUGUGAAGAAGGCCUUAUGGUUGCAAAGCACUUUAAGCGAGGAGGAGGCUACUUUAGUUAAUACCUAGAGAUAGUGGACGUUACUCGCAGAAUAAGCACCGGCUAACUCUGUGCCAGCCGCCGCGGUAA
rnacentral:rRNA from 1 species